GAGUCAGUUUUGUCGUUUAAACAGCAACAAUUGUGUGGUGGUGUCACCACCGUCGUGUUGCUCCUUUAAAGCUUCACGCCGCCGGCACAGAAGACCCGUGUGAAUGAAUCCCCCGGAGAUUCUUAGAAGAAAGCAGAGGAGGCGCUUUGGUGUGCUCAAUUGAUAUGUCUUGGAGGGCAACGCCUUGUUUUGCCAAGCUUUAAAAAUA
ensembl:ncRNA T19C4.21 ncRNA